GUGCCGACGUACUUAGAGGAAUGCACCAGACGAGCGACAGCGAAGAGGGGAAGCACCGACCCGAAGACAAUGUUUUUUAGAGCAAUGUUAAAGGUCAGGGAACAUUUUGUGGUUUGGAUUGACGUAAGCUGUACUAUUGUCUAUUUUUGUAAAAGAGGGGGGCUUUGUUAUUGUACCCAUAUAAAACCUUGUCUCAUGAUUGUAAGUUCAGUUCAACACUGAUUGGGUUGUUGAACUCACACAUGUGUUCAUUAAAAUGCCGUCUAAAUUGCACACGCCUGGAUCUGUGGUUUUUAUGGAUUCUUCUCUCAACAUUGAACCCUAACAACACCUAUGGCCAGUUUAUUAACCCAAUAAUUAUUUGGAAGAAAGCCUGUGCACCCAGUAAAAACCCGAGCAGGCACGCAGAGAACAUGCAAACUCCAUGCAGAAGGGCCCCAGAU
ensembl:lncRNA